CCAGGGUUUUUGCCAUGGACUUCCCCAUCACCAGUUCGUGCUUUUCUCCUGCCAUGGGCAUGGCCAAAGACUUCAGUGCUCACCUCUGUUGCAUAUAGUUCAAUGCUCUUUGCCCUGGCAUAUCCUAUAGCCACGUAACGACACUGAUAUGUUUGUUGUUGUCAGUAUUUCCAUCCCAGAGGAUCACCCUUCAGCCUGGCAAUAUGGGGAGUCCUCCAAAAAAGAUGCAUGGAAGGACAGGCCCUGCACAGCUACACUGGCGCAGCCAUCAGUCAACCAUCCAGUCCAUCAUCCAGGUGCCUCAAUGCUGCACUCGGGAGCUCCCGUCCUCCAAAAUAUACCUCUUCUUUCCCAAAAUUCUGAUGCCUCGGCCUGACAAGCACUUCAUAUAUGAAACCUUAACACCACAGCCUGCUGUUAGGAAUGCACACACUACAUCCCAGGCUGGAGCAAGACCAGAAGGGUAGAGCUCAGGUGUUUUGGAACCAUCCCACAGGCAGCCCCUGGCGGCUUUCCAGCAUGCUCUUCCUUUAAGCGUGCUCAACUGUGCCUCUGGAGAAGACUGCUGAUCCAUCAGUUAAUCGUAUUGAAAGUUGCCAUCACACAGAGCAGAAUAGAUCCUUUCACUGCGAAACCUGCUGGGUCUGCACUAACAGGCUUCCCUGCCAAAGCAAACAUCGCUCCCACAGCCCCUCCGUGGUACGUGAGGAGUACAGUUUCAAACCUCCCCAGCUCGUACAAAGCUGGGCACCAAAUGCAAAACUGCAGCCAAUCCCUCAGCUGGUCCAGGCUGCCUCGAUUCCUUCGAAACCAGUGGAGCUCCACCACCAUGGUCUCACCGGGUUUCUGUCUCAACACCUCGCCUUCAGCCCUUCCAAGAAGACAAGCUGUGGCUGCGCUCACACGCUGCAGACAUCUCUUUUUUCCCCUCUCUUCUCCCCUUUCCCUUCUCCCCCCUGCAGCCAUCUCCUCGUUGUUCCCUAGGCCAAGGAGGCUCACACAGAGGGCAUUGUUUGUUACCCUUUACGGGGGGUGGAAAGCACUAAAUCAUGGGUUAGGAAAAUAAAGCUCUUACCCUGCAGCAACCUGAGGCAAGCAAUACUUCACCACUGAAACAGUAUGUGCAAUGGUGCAUUUUAACUGGAUUCCAGGGCACAGAAAUACUUGUUGGUCUCGAUCCUAAAUUAUAUUCACAUCCAAUAUCUUGGAUUUUCAUAUUAUUCAAACAUAAAACUGUCACCGUGUACAUUUGGGCUUUAAAUUAUGUAGAGAUGAUAUUUUAUUACAUAGAAUUUGUUUCACAUCUCUGUGGAAACCUGGCAGCCACCCCACCACUGAAGUCCAAAGGGGCAGUGAAAACUGCAGAACAAGCUGAGAAACAACCCAAGAAAACAAGCUACACAUGCUUUGUUAUCUAACUGCGUUCUUUAAUAUUGGAGGGAAAAAAUCCUAGGAGAAAGCAUGGUUAAAUAAAAACUGACCUUGAGUAAUUUGGACCA
rnacentral:lncRNA from 1 species